rnacentral:rRNA from 1 species
AAUAGAUACCCAGGUAGUCCACGCCCUAAACGAUGUCUACUAGUUGUCGGGUCUUAAUUGACUUGGUAACGCAGCUAACGCGUGAAGUAGACCGCCUGGGGAGUACGGUCGCAAGAUUAAAACUCAAAGGAAUUGACGGGGACCCGCACAAGCGGUGGAUGAUGUGGAUUAAUUCGAUGCAACGCGAAAAACCUUACCUACCCUUGACAUGUCAGGAACCUCCGAGAGAUUGGAGGGUGCCCGAAAGGGAGCCUGAACACAGGUGCUGCAUGGCUGUCGUCAGCUCGUGUCGUGAGAUGUUGGGUUAAGUCCCGCAACGAGCGCAACCCUUGUCAUUAGUUGCUACGAAAGGGCACUCUAAUGAGACUGCCGGUGACAAACCGGAGGAAGGUGGGGAUGACGUCAAGUCCUCGUGGCCCUUAUGGGUAGGGCUUCACACGUCAUACAAUGGUACAUACAGAGGGCCGCCAACCCGCGAGGGGGAGCUAAUCCCAGAAAGUGUAUCGUAGUCCGGAUCGCAGUCUGCAACUCGACUGCGU